rnacentral:lncRNA from 1 species
AUAAUAUAUAUUAUAUAUAAUAUAUAUAAUAUAAUUUUGAAUAUAUGUAAUAAUAAUAAUAAUAAUAAUAAUAAUAAUAUUACUGUUAAUAUAAAUCUUAAUUAUAAUAUAUAAUGUAGCAAUUAUUUAUAUAAAUAAUACAUAAUAUAUUAUAGAUGAAAAAAUAUAUAAAAUUAUUUUUCAUUCAAAUUUUUCUUUCAACCAAACAAGCGAGGGUGGAAAACUAUUUUUCUUUUUCUACAAACCAAACGUUUAAGAGGGUAAUUUUUUUUUCCACUGAAAAUUAUUUUUAU